rnacentral:lncRNA from 1 species
AGCUUUCUUCCCGCCAGGCCCCCUCCACCCGAUCGCCGCGCGCUCUCCGAACCAAAAGGCGACCUCACGAAAUGCCCCUUUGAGCUCAAAGGCUAGUUACCCCCAGGGGCCCUUCCACUCUCGGGGACAGGCGAAACCUCUUUGUCUCUGCCUCGGCCUGCGGCCCCCAGCCCAGCCUCCGCGCUUUCCCUCCGCCAGUCCUUGUCAAUCAAACCUGGUGCCAAACGCGGCAGCUGAAGUUUUCAGGGACACAUUUGCUUCUCCCCUUGAAGAACCAGUUACAAAGCGUGAUGUCCUCUCUGGGGUCCCAUCAGAACAAAGAAACAGGGAAGCAGCGGAAUACAAGAGACUGAACUGUAUCUGCCUCUGUUUCCAAAAGAUUCACGUUCAACUUUCACUCACACAAAGCCGGGAAAAUUUUACUUUUUUUUUUUUUUUUUUAGACAGAGUCUC